UUUUUUAGAGGUGAUCUUAGAGGCGUUCUUCAUUUGGAACGAAAGGCUGACGAAGAAGACAGCAACCAGGCUGAUUUCGUCAAGGGCCUUUGAUCGAGUCCAGAAGUCACCAGAUUUAUUCGUUGUUGGUUCCGCUGCACCCAAGGUCUGUGGGAGGAGUAGGGAUCGUGCUCCAAUAGUAAAAGACCGACCCUUCCAGGACUUUUUUGGCUUCCGACCUUGUGUGGCAUCUCUUUGAACCCCCUCGACCGUCUGAGCUUCCAUAAUACCGUCUGGACUUCUCCGACAAUGAGCUUCUCCACCCAUCUACUGAGCUGCUCCAAAGGCUCUCUGGACCUCACUAUCAGCCGACCUUCUAUAGUGAUCAACUAUUUUUCAAACUUCUUCCAGACUUCGUCAAUAUCCGAGCUUCUCCGAUAACAAGAUUUCUAUAGUAAUCAGACUCCGUCCAAAUUUCUACGGCGGUCGACCGCCUUCAGGAUUCCAACCGAGCUCCUGCGAGAGCCGAACUUCUACUACGAGCGGUCUACUCCAAACUUCUAC
rnacentral:lncRNA from 1 species